rnacentral:rRNA from 1 species
GACGGGGCCCGCACAAGCGGUGGAGCAUGUGGUUUAAUUCGAUGAUACGCGAGGAACCUUACCUGGGCUCAAAUGUAUGUUGACGUAUUCUGAAAGGGAUACUUCUUCGGACAAUAUACAAGGUGCUGCAUGGUUGUCGUCAGCUCGUGCCGUGAGGUGUCGGGUUAAGUCCCAUAACGAGCGCAACCCUUGCCUUUAGUUGCCAGCAGUUCGGCUGGGCACUCUAAAGGGACUGCCGGUGUUAAACCGGAGGAAGGUGGGGAUGACGUCAAGUCCUCAUGGCCUUUAUGACCAGGGCUACACACGUACUACAAUGGCCGAUACAAAGGGCAGCGACACUGCGAGGUGAAGCCAAUCCCGUAAAAUCGGUCUCAGUCCGGAUUGGAGUCUGCAACUCGACUCCAUGAAGUUGGAAUCGCUAGUAAUCGUGGAUCAGCAUGCCACGGUGAAUACGUUCCCGGGCCUU